UACGUAGGGUGCAAGCGUUAAUCGGAAUUACUGGGCGUAAAGCGUGCGCAGGCGGUUUUGUAAGUCUGUCGUGAAAUCCCCGGGCUCAACCUGGGAAUUGCGAUGGAGACUGCAAGGCUAGAAUCUGGCAGAGGGGGGUAGAAUUCCACGUGUAGCAGUGAAAUGCGUAGAGAUGUGGAGGAACACCGAUGGCGAAGGCAGCCCCCUGGGUCAAGAUUGACGCUACAUGGCACCGAAAGGCGUGGGGAGCAAACAAGGAUUACGAA
rnacentral:rRNA from 1 species